rnacentral:rRNA from 1 species
UACGGAGGAUCCAAGCGUUAUCCGGAAUUACUGGGCGUAAAGAGUUGCGUAGGUGGCAUAGUAAGCGAGUAGUGAAAGCGUGUGGCUCAACCAUACAUCCAUUACUUGAACUGCUAAGCUAGAGUAUGAGAGAGGUAGAUGGAAUUCCCUGUGUAGGAGUGAAAUCCGUAGAUAUAGGGAGGAACACCGAUGGCGUAGGCAGUCUACUGGCUCAUUACUGACACUAAGGCACGAAAGCGUGGGUAGCAAACGGG